rnacentral:misc_RNA from 1 species
CAGCGGCAUCUGCGUGUCGUUGCGGGUGUGUCUCUGUGCAAGUUGUUCCUGACCCUGCUCUUCACGCGAGUGUCUCCUGUGUGCCAACGGGGCAAAGCAGAAUCAAAGGCAAUCGAAAGCCAAGGCGCACAGCCCCCCCCCCCCCCCCCCCCCCCAUCAUCUAGCGUCGUCAUCAUCUUUUCCCUCUCGUACCACCUGUGGCUCACGCUGGCCCUCCUUAUCAUCUUUUCGUGUAUCUGCCCACGCCCCCUCUGCUUACCCAGAGGCCUCCAAAGAUGGGCGGCAGGAUUUCGCGCGAGCAGAUGAAUGAUUACCGGGAGGUUGUGAAAGAUCGCAUCUCCGAGGAAGCCAUCGGCUUUCUGCACACCCGCUUCAUGAAGGCCGCCCCAUCGGGGGUCAUGACCCCGCUCCUCUUUAAGCAGUACAUCGAGAGCGUCGGCAUGUUCAAGAAUCGUAGAAUCCUUCAAGAGCAACGCAGGUGGCAGCAGCGCAGCAUCUUCGACAAGUUAUGGGCCAGCCGCUACAAAGGGGAAAGGCAGCAGCCGGCUGCCGGGUCCAACGGGGACGCCAACAGAGACGCUGCAGAGGAGGAUGGCAUUGAUUACUACGAUCACCUCUUUCGUGGGUACGACAUCAACAACGAAGGGGUGAUCACCUUCAAGAAGUUUCUGAUGUACCACGUAGCAGUCGUGUACAGCACCGAAGAUUUGUUUUACGUAGUUUUCAACGCCUACGACGACGACGGCGACGGCUUCCUGUCACUGACGGACAUCAAGGCUGUCAUCACGGCAGCAACGCGCUACGUAGGUGACUACGACGUCAACGACCGCGAGGUGCGCCGCGUGAUUGAUGAGGAGGCGCGUCGGCUCAUGGGCUUUCUGGACAUUCGCAAGCAGGGAUACAUACAGAUGGAGGACAUGCGACUCAUCACGCAGAAGUACCCGCAAGUGUUGGAGAAGAUGAAGAAUUUGAUGUGAAGAAGUCAGAGGAGGAGGAUGUAGCGCGAGGAGUAGCGCUGCUCGUGGAGGCGUCUUCGUUGCCUUUUUUCUCUACUCCUUCUCCUCUCUCUUUCUCGUGCCUUUCCUUCUUCCUUGAUGAAGGACGUGUACGAUCGAUUUUUUUUUUUCCUUCGGCGUUUGCCUGCUCCGUUACCACACACACGCACACACACAAACUCCCCCCUCUCUCUCCGCGCGCGUGCGUGCCUGUUGCACGUACCCGCUUGAUCUCACUCUUUCCGUUCUUUCCUUUUUCUUCUUUCACGUCUUGCCUUGCCGGCGCCAUGAUCCUGUCGUUUUUUCUUCUUGACUUUUAUGUCUGUGCUUCAGAAGGAGCGUUGGCCCUCCGCUGUCUUGGUGGGUGCGGUCUUGCCUGCUGCCAUCUUUUCCGCGUGUAGCUCGGUGCUUGCGCGGAUCUGCACACGAGCUCUGAAGGGAAGCGCGUCACUGAUGCCCAUCGAUUGGUGCUCUCCCGCGUCGCUUUCUUUGUUGUACGCGCGUCUCUCUCUCAUCGUUACCCUUCAUCACUCGUGCUGCGCGUGGUGUUUAGAUCAUUGCUGUCAUUGCACAGGUUUUUUUUUUCGCGAGGAGCACACGUGCGUGCAAGCGAAAAGGACAGCGCGCCGCUGUAUCUCUCUCUCUCUCUCUCUGUGCGUCUCUUGAGCCGCAGCAGAUGACCCACAGCGUGUAACCCCUUUCGCUGCAGCUGAGGACGCUGUCGCUCCAUAUGCAGACAGAGAGGAGGGAACACUCGAAGAACGAGCGAAGGCAACUGAGCACACGGACGAGGACGGCUCAAGGUCUUGGAAGAGCCCCACGCCCUCUGCUGUACACGGUGCAGCUGCUCUCUCCCUAUGACGAGAGACCAAGUGAGCAGAUGGCGGCCUGCGCGUAUGUGUGCGUCUUUCUCUUUUCAUGUGGGCUUCAGUCUCUUGCCAGUGAUCGGUGCCACACUAC